GGUUCAAUUUUCGUUUACGGCCAUACCACCCUGAACACGCCCGGUGUCGCAUGUGUGGGAGCGGGAGAGAAAUGUUUGGUGGAGAACCGAGUGAAAAAGUGAAUUAGCGAAGGAUUUCGCGGAGGAUUUUGUGCUGCAGACCCCCCCAAACAGCAUAGCUGUCGGGGGGGACCAUUCCCGAGAGAAUACGAGGUCUGAAAUCGAAGAUAUACGGAAGAGGAGCAACGUGAAUUCUGGAAUGCGGGCGUCACGCAGCCGGAAUGCGGAAAUAGAAACGGAGAACAAAACGGCGGUGGAAAACACUAAAUCGGCGGUGGAAAAUAGAAAUGAAGGUAGCAAAGAGAAGAUGAAGAUAACUGUGGAGGAAAAAGUUGUAAAAGUUGCAAGUGGAAAGAGUUUGUGGACAAAAGAGGUGGCGGGUCCCGCUGAUCACGGCACAGCUGUGUUGGAAGCUAACGAGAGGAGCGGGAACGACAAAGCAAAGAUGAAUACUGAAAAAGAGGAGUUGGACGGGGGGAAAGGAGGUGAUUCAAGAGAGAAUGUGACGAGGAAGACACUGACGGAGACGGAAUUUGCUAAAAACAAAAGAGAAGAAGAUCCCAAGAGUAAGGAGGGGGCGGGGCUGGCUGUCUCCGGUGGUGCAACUGAUGCAGCUACGAUAGCUAAAAUGAGUAGCAGAGAAGAUGACGGAGGAGAAGAAGCGUCAGCAGGGAGGAAAACUGAUAGGAAGAUAAAGCACUGCACGGAGGAGAAGGAAGAAGCCACGAAAGGAGACGGAGGUAGCAGCGGUGGGGUGACGGCUGGUGAGGAGAGGACGGGAAGAGGUGACACGGGGGAGAAGAAGGGAAUCAUUGUUGGAGCUGGUGGAGUACAUGGGGGUGGUGGGGCUGACGGAGGAAACACUGAUGGAGAUGUCGGAAUAUAUGGGGGUGAUGAGGGAAACACUGAUGGAGCAAGAAAGGACAAAAGGAAGAAGAAGAGAAAGUAAGGAAGAGGAGGAUAUCGGCGGUGUCCUUAAGGUGAUCCAGACAUGCUGGACCAGAGGAGGAGAGACAGAUCUGGACUCCUAACAGCAGAGAACUUCAGCACGGAUUCCAAGGAAAGGACAUGCCUGAGAGACAGGACUGCUUCACCAUUUUCUCUUUCUCCGAGGGUCCAGAAGAACAUCCAAGAGGGAAAGGAAAAGCUGAUGUCAUGAGAUUUAAGACCAGUACAGGACAUUCACUAAGAGACACUUAUAUUGUAACACAAAGACCUGCACACUGAAUAGUUUUGUAGUCUAACAAAUAAAACUUGAUUUGAUUUGAACAGGAACUUAAUUUUUGUGUUGUUUUGUGUUUUACGUUGCACCUCAGAGACAGUGUGAUUAUUGUCAGGCCUAUAAAGUUUGGCAAAAAAAAAA